UACGAAGGGGGGCUAGCGUUGCUCGGAAUCACUGGGCGUAAAGCGCACGUAGGCGGCUUGUUAAGUCAGGGGUGAAAUCCUGGAGCUCAACUCCAGAACUGCCUUUGAUACUGGCGAGCUUGAGUCCGGGGAGAGGUGAGUGGAACUGCGAGUGUAGAGGUGAAAUUCGUAGAUAUUCGCAAGAACACCAGUGGCGAAGGCGGCUCACUGGCCCGGUACUGACGCUGAGGCGCGGAAAAGCGUGGGGGAGCAAACAGGG
rnacentral:rRNA from 1 species